ACGUAGGGUGCGAGCGUUAAUCGGAAUUACUGGGCGUAAAGCGUGCGCAGGCGGUUUUGUAAGCCAGAUGUGAAAUCCCCGGGCUUAACCUGGGAAUGGCAUUUGGGACUGCAAGGCUGGAGUAUGGCAGAGGGGACUAGAAUUCCUGGUGUAGCAGUGAAAUGCGUAGAUAUCAGGAGGAAUACCGAUGGCGAAGGCAGGUCCCUGGGCUGAUACUGACGCUCAUGCACGAAAGCGUGGGGAGCAAACAGGAUUAGAUACCCUGGUAGUCCACGCCCUAAACGAUGUCGACUGGUUGUUGGGGGUUUGACACUCUCAGUAACGAAGCUAACGCGUGAAGUCGACCGCCUGGGGAGUACGGCCGCAAGGUUA
rnacentral:rRNA from 1 species